GGUGAACGCUGGCGGCGUGCUUAAGACAUGCAAGUCGAACGCAGUCUUCGGACUGAGUGGCGCACGGGUGAGUAACACGUAACUGACCUACCCCCAAGUCGCGGAUAACUGGCCGAAAGGUCAGCUAAUACGUGAUGUGAUGUCCCCUUUCUGGGGGGCCAUUAAAGGUUUACUGCUUGGGGAUGGGGUUGCGUUCCAUCAGCUAGUUGGCGGGGUAAAGGCCCACCAAGGCAACGACGGAUAGCCGGCCGGAGAUGGUGGCCGGCAACAGGGGCACUGGGACACGGGUCCCACGCCGACGGGAGGCAGCAGUUAGGAAUCUUCCACAAUGGGCGAAAGCCUGAUGGGGCGACGCCGCGUGAGGGAUGAAGGUUCUCGGAUCGUAAACCUCUGAAUCAGGGACGAAAGACGCGUAAGCGGGAUGACGGUACCUGAGUAAUAGCACCGGCUAACUCCGUGCCAGCCGCCGCCGUAA
rnacentral:rRNA from 1 species